CAGAGGGGGCAAGCGUUGUUCGGAAUUACUGGGCGUAAAGGGCGCGUAGGCGGCCUUCUAAGUCGAACGUGAAAUCCCCGGGCUCAACCCGGGAACUGCGUCCGAUACUGGGAGGCUUGAAUCCGGGAGAGGGAUGUGGAAUUCCAGGUGUAGCGGUGAAAUGCGUAGAUAUCUGGAGGAACACCGGUGGCGAAGGCGGCAUCCUGGACCGGUAUUGACGCUGAGGCGCGAAAGCCAGGAGAGCAAACGGGAUUAGAUACCCCGGUAGUCCUGGCCCUAAACGAUGAAUGCUUGGUGUGGCGGGUAUCGAUCCCUGCCGUGCCGAAGCUAACGCAUUAAGCAUUCCGCCUGGGGAGUACGGUCGCAAGGCUG
rnacentral:rRNA from 1 species